rnacentral:rRNA from 1 species
CGGGAUUGACGGAUCAGAGUUUGAUCCUGGCUCAGGAUGAACGCUGGCGGCGUGCUUAACACAUGCAAGUCGAACGGGAUCCCGGGNVUUCGCCUCCGGGUGAGAVURGCGAACGGGUGAGUAAUGCGUGACCGACCUGCCCCAUACACCGGAAUAGCUCCUGGAAACGGGUGGUAAUGCCGGAUGCUCCGGUUGGAUGCAUGUCCUUCCGGGAAAGAUUCCAUCGGUAUGGGAUGGGGUCGCGUCCUAUCAGCUUGAUGGCGGGGUAACGGCCCACCAUGGCUUCGACGGGUAGCCGGCCUGAGAGGGCGACCGGCCACAUUGGGACUGAGAUACGGCCCAGACUCCUACGGGAGGCAGCAGUGGGGAAUAUUGCACAAUGGGCGCAAGCUGAUGCAGCGACGCCGCGUGCGGGAUGGAGGCCUUCGGGUUGUAAACCGCUUUUGAUCGGGAGCAAGCCCUUCGGGGUGAGUGUACCCUUCGAAUAAGCACCGGCUAACUACGUGCCAGCAGCCGCGGUAAUACGUAGGGUGCAAGCGUUAUCCGGAAUUAUUGGGCGCAAAGGGCUCGUAGGCGGUUCGUCGCGUCCGGUGUGAAAGCCCAUCGCUUAACGGUGGGUCUGCGCCGGGUACGGGCGGGCUGGAGUGCGGUAGGGGAGACUGGAAUUCCCGGUGUAACGGUGGAAUGUGUAGAUAUCGGGAAGAACACCAAUGGCGAAGGCAGGUCUCUGGGCCGUCACUGACGCUGAGGAGCGAAAGCKUGGGGGAGCGAACAGGAUUAGAUACCCUGGUAGUCCACGCCGUAAACGGUGGAUGCUGGAUGUGGGGCCCGUUCCACGGGUUCCGUGUCGGAGCUAACGCGUUAAGCAUCCCGCCUGGGGAGUACGGCCGCAAGGUAAAAACUCAAAGAAAUUGACGGGGGCCCGCACAAGCGGCGGACAUGGCGGAUUAAUUCGAUGCAACGCGAAGAACCUUACCUGGGCUUGACAUGUUCCCGACGGCCGUAGAGAUACGGCCUCCCUUCGGGGCGGGGUUCACAGGUGGUGCAUGGUCGUCGUCAGCUCGUGUCGUGAGAUGUUGGGUUAAGUCCCGCAACGAGCGCACCCUCGCCCUGUGUUGCCAGCACGUCAUGGUGGAACUCACGGGGMCG